CCUUCGAUAGCUCAGUUGGUAGAGCGGUGGACUGUAGUUUGUUUGAUUGUUUGAAAAGAGACAUCCAUAGGUCGCUGGUUCGACUCCGGCUCGAAGGA
rnacentral:tRNA from 1 species